rnacentral:rRNA from 1 species
UACGGGGGGGGGCAAGCGUUGUUCGGAAUUACUGGGCGUAAAGGGCUCGUAGGCGGCCAACUAAGUCCGACGUGAAAUCCCCAGGCUUAACCUGGGAACUGCGUCGGAUACUGGAUGGCUUGAAUCCGGGAGAGGGAUGCGGAAUUCCAGGUGUAGCGGUGAAAUGCGUAGAUAUCUGGAGGAAUACCGGUGGCGAAGGCGGCAUCCUGGACCGACAUUGACGCUGAGGAGCGAAAGCUAGGGGAGCAAACGGG